CUUCUUUUUAAACUCAAGAGACUUCGAGCGAUCCCAGUUUCCAUUUCAAUCUGUAUUCACUCGUAGUGAGUUUCCUUGAAUGCGAUUUCAAGCGGAGAAUGGGGGAGUCUCACUUCCCCCCCGCGCUGCCCCAUGGGCCUGGGCCAGUUCUCCACUCCUAGGGGCCAAGCCACCCCUGGGCCUUCGUGGGGGAAAGGCAGGGCCCACCUGGGCCAGCCUGUGCCCUGAGGGGCUCUUGACACCCACGUAGAAUUCUCUACACACCAGUAACGGGAUUUCAAUUCCGAUGGACUCCGCCGCCCUGGCGGCCCUUCCUGUGACUUUUGCGCCCCGCGCCUGGGGUGGGGGGUGCGAAGAGACGCUACGUUCCUUUCCGAUGGAGGAAGGCAGACCUGCCGACACACGUGUGCUUGCACGAACGCGUGUACCUGGUGCGGGAUCACCCGGCCGCCAGACUGCCUGGGCCUGCCCAGACGGCCACCUCGUGGUGCUGUGGUGACUUUGUAGCCAACUUUAUAAUAAAGUCCAG
rnacentral:lncRNA from 1 species